GGCAGACGGGAGAGUACACGUGAGAACGUACCCUUUGGUUCGGAACAACCCAGGAAACUUGGGGCUAAUACCGGAUAAGCCCUUACGGGGAAAGAUUCAUUCGCCGAAGGAUCGGCCCGCGUCUGAUUUAGCUAGUUGGUGGGGUAAUGGCCCACCAAGGCGACGAUCAGUAGCUGGUCUGAGAGGAUGAUCAGCCUCACUGGGACUGAGACACGGUCCAGACUCAUAACGGGAGGCAGCAGUGGGGAAUAUUGGACAAUGGGCGCAAGCCUGAUCCAGCCAUGCCGCGUGGGUGAUGAAGGCCCUAGGGUUGUAAAGCCCUUUCGGCGGGGAAGAUAAUGACGGUACCCGCAGAAGAAGCCCCGGCUAACUUCGUGCCAGCCGCCGCGG
rnacentral:rRNA from 1 species